rnacentral:rRNA from 1 species
AGUGAACGCUGGCGGUAGGCCUAACACAUGCAAGUCGAACGGCAGCACAGUAAGAGCUUGCUCUUACGGGUGGCGAGUGGCGGGCGGGUGAGGAAUACAUCGGAAUCUACUUUUUCGUGGGGGAUAACGUAGGGAAACUUACGCUAAUACCGCAUACGACCUACGGGUGAAAGCAGGGGAUCUUCGGACCUUGCGCGAUUGAAUGAGCCGAUGUCGGAUUAGCUAGUUGGCGGGGUAAAGGCCCACCAAGGCGACGAUCCGUAGCUGGUCUGAGAGGAUGAUCAGCCAGACUGGAACUGAGACACGGUCCAGACUCCUACGGGAGGCAGCAGUGGGGAAUAUUGGACAAGGGGGGCAAGCCUGAUCCAGCCAUACCGCGUGGGUGAAGAAGGCCUUCGGGUUGUAAAGCCCUUUUGUUGGGAAAGAAAAGCAGCAGGUUAAUACCCCGCUGUUCUGACGGUACCCAAAGAAUAAGCACCGGCUAACUUCGUG